ensembl:ncRNA lncRNA:CR45282 long non-coding RNA:CR45282
AGUGCACUGCAUGUAUGUGUGUGUGUGUGGCUGCAACGCUGUGCGUAUGCCAGUGCAAUUCGAGUUCGAUUUGGAGUGUGAUCGAUGACGAUGACGGGCAGGAUGCGAUAAGGGCCAGGAUGCGAUGGGAACAGGAAACGGACUGCCAAGGAUUUUAAUCAGCUGUUGUCGCUCUCCAUGAAGUUGCGUUCAUGGGAGAAAGCCGAUCGGUUGUGGUAGCGUCCAUAAGUCCUGCGAACACCAAAGAUAUGGCCAAAAGGAAAAGCAAUUGGGCUACUGAUUGAUUUGCCAGGACGAGCAUUUGUUUUUACCGUACAUAGAGUUACGAUGCACUAGGCAGAAAAAC